CUCCAAAUCCAGGGUAGCCAGUUCUGAGAGCUUCCAUAGAGGGCCCACGUUGUCCCUAGUCUGUCUUUUAUUCGCUAUGUACCUACAGAAUCCUUUCCUGUUAUCCCUAACAUCCCUAGCCAAGUUUAAUUCUAACUGGGCCUUAGCUUUCCUAACCUGGUCCCUAGCUUCCCGGACAACAUCCCUGUACUCUUCCCAGGCCACCUGUCCUUGCUUCCACCUUUUGUAAGCCUCUUUUUUCCUUCAAAUUUUCCUCAGGAGCUCCUUAUCCAUCCAAGGAGGUCUCCUGGCCCUCCUGCUGAGCUUCCUUCUAGUUGGGAUGCAACACUCCUGAUCUUGUAGCAGGUGAUCCUUGAAUAUCAACCAACAGUCUUGGGCCCACUGCCCUCUAGGGCUAUAUCCCAUGGAACCUUCCUAAGCAGGUUCCUGAAGAGGCCAAAGUCUGCUCUCUUGAAGUUCAGUGCAGUGAGCUUGCUGCACGCUCUUCUCACUGUCCUGAGAAUCUCAAAUUUGACCAUCUCGUGAUUGCUGCAUUCAAGGCUGCCCUGGAGCGUCACAUUUCCAACGAGCCCUUCCCUGUUGGUGAGCACGAGGUCAAGCAUGGCACCUCUCCUUGUCGGCUCCUCUAUUACUUGCAGAAGGAAGUUGUCUUCCACACAGUCGAGGAACAUACUGGAUUGCUUGUGCCGGGCCAUAAAAAAACCACCCUUUUGAUGCAGGAUCAUAAGCAGAACCCUAAAAGUGUAGUGAUGGAUCCAACAGCCCUGGGGAGAGCUGGCACUGCUGGAACCACCUGGUUUAUCUGACAUUUUCCUGGAGUUAAGUAAUGGUUUUCCAGAGUUAGAAAAUUCUCAAAUGGCAUCACUUUUUAUUUUGUUUUUUUUUUUCUCUAUUUUUUUCUUAUUCCCAAGGGCUUUUAUCACCAUCUGUGUGCAAAAUCUCCAGCAGGAAUCCGUAAUCUGGAGUGAUUUGGUCUAAUGUCAUGAGAAGGGUCUGCUCUGCACACCUUAGGAAGUGCAAAGAGGAAAAAGACAAGAAGAUGGAGCCCUCCUAAUUUCUCAGUCUUAUCAGAGCCACUGCCUCCUGUGCUGACAUAAGGAACACAACCCAUGUCCUUCACCUUUACAGGAUUCACAAUGAAGUGGCUGGUAAAAUGGGAGCAGCUGGUUCAGCUCUGCUUGAACGCUGGAUUUAAUGUGCUGAAACUACUUCCACUGGUGUGUGUGGCUGGGCAUGUGUUUUUGAUGCAAAAGCUUUAACUUUGGUGUGAUAUUUCACAUGUUAAAACACAUCUCUCAGCAUAGCUUUCCCCCCACCUCAAAAUGCUUUGACAAAGCAAAGUAAGUUUGUGUUAUUAUCAGCUUCCCUUGCCUCAUUUUUCUCUUCUUCUUGCUUCUCAUUAAUACACAAGUGGUAUUAAAUAAAUAAUAAUGAUGCCAGUA